rnacentral:rRNA from 1 species
UACAGAGGGGGCAAGCGUUAUUCGGAAUUAUUGGGCGUAAAGGGCGCGUAGGCGGCCAUUCAAGUGACGGGUGAAAGCCCUCGGCUUAACCGAGGAACUGCCUGUCAGACUGGAUGGCUUGAGACCGGGAGAGGUGAGUGGAAUUCCCAGUGUAGCGGUGAAAUGCGUAGAUAUUGGGAGGAACACCAGUGGCGAAGGCGGUUCACUGGACCGGAACUGACGCUCAUGCACGAAAGCGUGGGGAGCAAACAGG